rnacentral:lncRNA from 12 species
AUUCAACUGAAAUGUUUGAGAAGUGAAACCAUUCAUGUUUUGAUGUCAGGAGACUUGGGUCUCAUCUAGCCUUCUAAAUACCAGAGUUUGAAAAAUCCCCCACUACAGAGGCACAGGAAGUCGGCAGCUCAGGCACACGAGGGGCAGCAGCUCUGAUCCCUCUUCUAGAGACGUCUGACUCAGAGCUGGAGAUAGAAGAAGGUGGGGGAAAAGGAAAGAGCAGAUUCUCUUCCUUUUCCCAAGAAAGCGGAGUGGCCUCGACUGGAGCCCCUCCUGGUGCCAACCCCUGAGCUGAGAGAAGACGGGAGCCUGCAUGUGCUCAUGGU